AGGGAAUAUUGGGCAAUGGACGCAAGUCUGACCCAGCCAUGCCGCGUGCAGGAAGACGGCCCUCUGGGUUGUAAACUGCUUUUAUCAGGGAAGAAGAGCAGGCAUGCGUGCCUGUGUGACGGUACCUGAGGAAUCAGCACCGGCUAACUCCGUGCCAGCAGCCGCGGUAAUACGGAGGGUGCAAGCGUUGUCCGGAUUUAUUGGGUUUAAAGGGUGCGUAGGUGGCCGUUUAAGUCAGCUUUGAAAGCUGGUCGCUCAACGAUCAGGGGUGGGUUGAUACUGGACGGCUUGGAUCAGGUGGCGGUUUCUGGAACGGGUCGUGUAGCGGUGAAAUGCAUAGAUAUGACCCAGAACUCCGAUUGCGAAGGCAGGAGGCUACGCCUGGAUUGACACUGAGGCACGAGAGCAUGGGGAGCAAAC
rnacentral:rRNA from 1 species